rnacentral:snRNA from 1 species
GUGCUCGCUUUGGCAGCACAUAUACUAAAAUUGGAACUAUACAGAGAAGAUUAGCAUGGCCCCUGCACAAGGAUGACACGCAAAUUCAUGAAGCGUUCUAUAAUUUU